CACCCGUCAUCUGGUGGACGGAACCGCGGCCACACUUCUGCUGCUCGAUCUCAUGACAAUGGCAAUCAACCUGUGGUGCAUAGUGUGCGUGGUGUCUCAGUACAGAAUCUACCGGGGCUCCAACGGACAGCUUACUGAGCUUGGCUCCAGCCUCCGGGCCCCUCUGACGACCACGCCGGGGGUCUCAGCC